GAAUUGAAGAGUUUGAUCAUGGCUCAGAUUGAACGCUGGCGGCAGGCCUAACACAUGCAAGUCGAACGGUAACAGGAAGCAGCUUGCUGCUU
rnacentral:rRNA from 1 species